GACGAACGCUGGCGGCGUGCUUAACACAUGCAAGUCGAACGGAAAGGCCCUGCUUUUGUGGGGUGCUCGCGUGGCGAACGGGUGAGUAACACGUGAGUAACCUGCCCUUGACUUUGGGAUAACUUCAGGAAACUGGGGCUAAUACCGGAUAGGAGCUCCUGCUGCAUGGUGGGGGUUGGAAAGUUUCGGCGGUUGGGGAUGGACUCGCGGCUUAUCAGCUUGUUGGUGGGGUAGUGGCUUACCAAGGCUUUGACGGGUAGCCGGCCUGAGAGGGUGACCGGCCACAUUGGGACUGAGAGACGGCGCAGACUCCUACAGGAGGCAGCAGUGGGGAAUAUUGCACAAUGGGCGGAAGCCUGAUGCAGCAACGCCGCGUGCGGGAUGACGGCCUUCGGGUGGUAAACCGCUGUCGCCUGUGACGAAGCGUGAGUGACGGUAAUGAGUAAAGAAGCACCGGCUAACUACGUG
rnacentral:rRNA from 1 species